AUGGAUCAGUGGCCGACACCGACGAACGCCACGGAGCUGUGCGGCUUCCUCGGCCUCACGGGCUACUACAGGAAGUUCGUCCCACACUAUGGCAUCAUCGCGAAGCCACUCACACAGCUGCUGACGAAGAAGGGCUUCUUCUGGACGGCGCAAGCACAAGCAGCGUUUGAGACGCUCAAGCAAUCGAUGGUCACCACGCCAGUCCUUGCCCUACCAGAAUUUGCGCGGCCGUUCACGAUCGAGACAGACGCCUGCGACACGGGCGUGGGCGCGGUGCUCGCGCAGGAUGGGCACCCGGUCGCAUACUUCAGCAAGGCGCUCGGCGUUCGCAACCAGAAGCUAUCCACUUAUGAGAAGGAAUUCCUCGCCGUGAUGAUGGCCGUCGACAAGUGGCGUCAGUAUUUGCAGCGCGGCCCCUUCGACAUCAUCACGGAUCACAAAUCUCUCUGUAAUCUAGGCGAACAACACCUGGAGACAGAGCUCCAGCGCACGGCCAUGGCGAAGCUGGUGGGAUUACAGUUCCGUUUUCAGUACAGAAGGGGGCUGGACAACGGCGCAGCUGACGCGCUCUCGCGAGUGGGCAAACAGUUCGAACUGGCCGCGCUCUCGACGUGCCAGCCCGACUGGGUGCAGGAGGUGGCCAACUCAUAUGCCACUGACGCUAACGCCCAGGAACGACUGCAACAACUGGCGAUCCACAGCCCGGACGAUCAGGGCUACAAGCUCUACCGUGGCAUCAUCAGGCGCCAGGGGCGCCUCUGGAUCGGGGCCAAUUCGGCCCUGCGCACCAAGCUCAUCGCCGCGCUGCACUGCAGUGCGGUGGGUGGUCACUCCGGCUCCACUGCCACCUACCAGCGCGUGCGCAAACACUUCGACUGGCGCGGCCUCAAGCGCGACGUCGCCGAGUUCGUGCAGCAGUGCACCAUGUGCCAGCAGGCCAAGCACGAGCAUGUCAAGCCGGCGGGCCUCCUCGCCCCGCUGCCCAUUCCAACGGCGCCAUGGCAGGACCUCACCAUGGACUUCGUGGAGGGGCUACCGCGCUCCGAAGGACACGACACGAUCAUGGUGGUCGUCGACCGCUUCACCAAGUUCGCCCACUUUGUCCCUCUCCGCCACCCCUUCAACGCCAAGCAGGUGGGGCGCGCCUUCUGGGAGAACGUGGUGAAGCUGCACGGCAUUCCAGUGUCCAUCGUCUCCGAUCGCGACAAGAUCUUCACAAGCCACCUCUGGCGCGAGCUGCUCGCGGGCGCUGGCACCAAACUGCUGUACUCGACAGCCUAUCACCCUCAGACCGACGGCCAGAGUGAAAGGGUGAAUCAGUGCAUGGAGAUGUACCUCCGAUGCGCUGUCCAAGACUCGCCGCACCAAUGGCGCCGGUGGCUGCCAAUGGCGGAGUUCUGGUACAAUUCCACCUUCCAUGCGUCACUCAAAGGCACUCCCUUCAAGGCCCUCUACGGCACGGAAGCUAACCUGGGCGCCAUGGCUUCUUGGGCGGAGUCGGCGCCGGCCGGCGAGGAGUUGGAUUGGGCGGCGCACACCGCGCACAUUCGCGCACAGCUGGAGCGCGCACAGCACCGAUUCAAGAAGAACGCUGACCGCAACCGCACAGAGAGGCACUUUCAGGAGGGCGAACAAGUGUUGCUCAAGCUCCAGCCGUAUGGGCAGCGUUCGGUGGUCAAUCGCCCCUGCGCCAAGCUCGCCUUUAAGUACUUUGGCCCGUUCAAGAUCACCGAGAAGAUUGGCGCACUCGCUUACAAGCUCGACCUGACGCCAGAAAGCCAAGUCCACCCUGUCUUUCACGUGUCACAACUGAAGCCCUUCACCCCCGACUAUACGCCGGUGUACGGUGAACUUCCCAAGGCGCCGGACCUCUCCGUCGACAACCUCCUACCGACCCGCAUCCUGGACAGGGGCAUGAUGAAGCGCGGCGACGUGCCGGUGGUGCAGCUCAAGGUGCAGUGGGGCACCGGCGACUCCGCGCCGACGACAUGGGAGGACCACGACGUGCUGCGCAACCGCUUUCCAACGGCAUCACUGUGGGCGGAGGCGGAGAACGACGACGAUACUGACGAAGAAGAUGAGGACACAGCUUAA
rnacentral:rRNA from 1 species